GGGUGGCGUCAUCUGUUAGCAAAAAAAAAUGGUUUUAGACUGAAUUGAUGUUAAUUUACAUAUUGACCUGUUGAGGGAUGCGGUCUACGAGUUAAAAUAUUCGGGAUUCAAGCUUCCUCAUCCACGAGACUCUACUUCUCAAAGCGUAAUUGUGCGAGGUUUGCGGUUGAGCGUCUGAAGGAGUGGGUGGUGUCUGGUUUGUUAAGUGAAAACAUUAUCUAUACACACCGUUAAAUUUUUUCAACGGAAAUAGACAUAAAAUGGGAUUAAGAGAAAAUAUUUAAAUAAAGAAUCAACAUAUUAGCGUUUAUUUAUAGAUUUUAUUAUAAAAGAUGGCAAUGACAUGCAUGAGUAUAAAUACUGGGGAAGAAAAAAUGAAUUCGUCCCAACGAUCAAUUUAUAGCUCAGGAGUUUUACCCCGAAUCAGCACCAAUUUAGGAAAGAAAGUACUCUCUGCGGGCAACCCUGUCUGUGAGAAUCUUAACUUUCUCAUCACAAUUUGUGCUAUAAACAAAUCUACACUUCAGCAUGAAGGCAAUCCACAGGAUGAUCCAUUUUUUCAUUCUGUGUUUCCAGUUCCAGAUUGCUACUGGUUACUGACCUACUGAUUACUGUAAAUUAUACAAAUACAACCAUGUUGUGAACCAUCAGUACAAAAUUGUAACCAAAAUAAUAAAUCGAGUUUAUAUUAGAAAAUUUAUAUUCAGUUAUAUUUAUUUUCUAUUUAUUGUUGACAUAUUUGUUGUUAUAUUGUUUAACAACAGAUAACGAACAGAGCCAGAACGAGAAAAAACGGGGCCCCGUGCAAACUUCCGUGCGGGACCUUUUAAUAACGACAUACAGAUUGAUAGAUUACCUACUGUUGAAAAUAACAACUCCAGAAUUCUACGAUUUCCUUAAAAAUAACAAUUACAUAUUCUUACCAGAUCGCAACCAAAAAGUUUUCAAUACGAGUUGGAUCACGCUGGAUGGUGAUUAGGCCCUCUGCAUUCGCACGGUUCGCACUGCCCUUCGGCCGGCCAUGACAAAAUGCCAAUACUAAAUUAUUUUUAGAAAACGUAAUGACCAUACAUACCAUUUUUUAAAAAACUUAUAUAGAC
rnacentral:lncRNA from 1 species